rnacentral:rRNA from 1 species
GACGAACGCUGGCGGCGUGCUUAACACAUGCAAGUCGAACGGAAAGGCCCUGCUUUUGUGGUGUGCUCGAGUGCCGAACGGGUGAGUAACACGUGAGUAACCUGCCCUUGACUUUGGUAUAACUUCAGGAAACGGGGGCUAAUACCGGAUAGGAGAUCCUGCUCCGUGGUGGGCGUUGGAAAGUUUCGGCGGUUGGGGAUGGACUCGCGGCUUAUCAGCUUGUUGGUUGGGUAGUGGCUUACCCAGGCUUUGACGGGUCGCCGGCCUGUGAGGGUGACCGGGCACAUUGGGACUGAGAGACGGCCCAGACGCCAACGGGAGGCAGCAGUGGGGAAUAUUGCACAAUGGGCGGAAGCCUGUUGCAGCAACGCCGCGUGCGGGAUGACGUCCUUCGGGUUGUAAACCGCUUUCGCCUGUGACGAAGCGGGAGUGACGGUAAUGGGUAAAGAAGCACCGGCUAACUACGUG